AGAUCUGUCAAAAGCAGCAGGUCCUGA
rnacentral:sRNA from 1 species